UCUUGUCUCUGUCUCUCAAGGUAACCAAUCCACAAAAUCUUUCUGUUUUUUAUUAUAAAAAAUUGAUCUUUUCGAGUAUGGUGAUCUGGGUUUUAUCCGUAGUGAUUAAAGAAAAGAUGACGAGUCCCAUUUUAUUAUCCCUUCAACCCCAUUCACCUCCUUUACAACAAAACCAGGAUUUGUCAGAGCCGAAGAACCCCACUUUCGUUUUGGGCUUUCAUAUGAAGUGGAGAAUUUUUAUGCAGGAUAUUUUUUAUAUGAAACAAAGGGAGCAACAAUGGAGUGUGUGGCACAAGGAAUUAUAGAGACUCAGAUCAAAAGAAAUGGAGUUGUUGCUUCAAAAAGUAGUUUUUGCCAGCUAGGUGAUGAAGUCAAGGUGAAAAAACCUUACACAAAAAUGGCUUGUCAUUGGCUGUGUUCUAGGCCUAUGGUGGGGUGGUCUCGAUCGGUGGCUCCUGUAAACCGGUCCCUGUUGAAAUUCCCAUGCUCAAAUCAAUAAAUAUAUAUGUCGUUUUCA